AGGAUUAUCAUGAGGAUGGUGAUCGAUUCAGAUAGACUAAUGCACAGAUCACUUUUUUCAGGAUAAAUAAAUCUUUAGUCUACAGUGUAGAGAUACUGAACGAUGAGUACAGGUAGUUGUUAGAGACAACUAGUACUGAGCGUGACCAUACGAGAGAUCACUUGGAUUUCUAUUCAAUCAUUAGUGAUUGUCUCAAUACUG
rnacentral:lncRNA from 1 species